UGACAGAAACCUCAACCCGCCCCUCCAAAAAAGAAAUGAAGGCCGAUCAAAACCAGGGAUAUACAGAGCGACUGCAAGUCACUUCUGGUGUGAGAGAAUUGGCCAUCUGCAAGGACGUUACCCAGGGGACGCCCAGAUGUUUUUGAUGUUUUUACCAUCCUUGUGGGAGGCUUCUCUCAUGUUACUGUAUGAAGCUGAAG
rnacentral:lncRNA from 11 species